rnacentral:rRNA from 1 species
UACGAAGGGGGCUAGCGUUGCUCGGAAUCACUGGGCGUAAAGGGUGCGUAGGCGGGUCUUUAAGUCAGGGGUGAAAUCCUGGGAGCUCAACUCCAGAACUGCCUUUGAUACUGAAGAUCUUGAGUUCGGGAGAGGUGAGUGGAACUGCGAGUGUAGAGGUGAAAUUCGUAGAUAUUCGCAAGAACACCAGUGGCGAAGGCGGCUCACUGGCCCGAUACUGACGCUGAGGAGCGAAAGCGUGGGUAGCGAACAGG